GGAUUAUGCAGGAGAGUGUCUUUGGCCGGUGCCCAGCUUGUGCUUCGGCCCAUACGUCGUGGGGACGGUGCGCACCGCCAUCCUUUCGAAUCCGCUUUAAGAUUUCAACACAUUUUUAUGCAUUCAUGGAGACGCCGUGUAUCGGAAAACACGUGGCCAGCAGCUGCCCAUCACAUAUUAAGCUCCAAAACCCACAAUCUUAGAUGCCGUGAACCAACUCCGCUUUCAUGCCCAGGGCUGUUCAGAGGGUUGCAGAGAUGGGGGAUUGGGG
rnacentral:lncRNA from 1 species